UACGAAGGGGGCUAGCGUUGCUCGGAAUUACUGGGCGUAAAGCGCACGUAGGCGGAUAUUUAAGUCAGGGGUGAAAUCCCAGAGCUCAACUCUGGAACUGCCUUUGAUACUGGGUAUCUUGAGUAUGGAAGAGGUAAGUGGAAUUGCGAGUGUAGAGGUGAAAUUCGUAGAUAUUCGCAGGAACACCAGUGGCGAAGGCGGCUUACUGGUCCAUAACUGACGCUGAGGUGCGAAAGCGUGGGGAGCAAACAGGG
rnacentral:rRNA from 1 species